rnacentral:lncRNA from 1 species
GCACUCUGCGCCCAUCCCAUCCAAAUCUAUGCAUCCUGCAACUCUGGUAAAGAAAAAGAAGAAGAAGGGGGGUGAGCUUUACAGCCCAGUAAGAAUUCCUACACAUCCAUACCAACACAAUAAUAAUAUGAAUUUGAAAGCCACGGCAAGUCGAAUCACAUACCAUGAAGUCAUAAACCAACUAUCAAAGCUCAACAAUUGAUAUAAAUAUGUACACCAAACAUUAAUAAAAGUCCAGCCAUACAAGAAUAAUAUAGCAUAUAAUAGCUCAUAAAUCCGUAUUAUAGUUUUAAUGCCUUUCCUUCAAUUUGAUCCGGAUUAAUUAUCUUUUCGACUUUGGGUCAAAUCUCGGUCACAUUUCUCAGCCUGUGGUGGGGCAACCAAAUUAUCACAUUUUUAGCCUGUGGCAGGGCCUGCACAUUAUAGUUCCACAUUUCUAGCCUGUGAGGGGGCCUANNNNNNNNNNNNNNNNNNNNNNNNNNNNNNNNNNNNNNNNNNAUAGUUCCACAUUUCUAGCCUGUGAGGGGGCCUAUCAAAGUACCACAUUUUUCAGCCUGUGACGGGGCCUGCCAUAUUAACAAGAUAAACCCAAAGUUCCUUUUCAUACAAUCUAGUUUACAUCCACACAUCAAUUCCUUUAUAUUUAUUUCCGGCUUUAAACUAACCACGGUCACGUUUCCAGCCCGUGACGGGGCAACCAAUAUCACAUGGUUAGUUUAGAGCACCACAUCCAUCAGUCCACUUAUGUAGGUGUAAGUUAUGCGCAUGCAUGCAUCCAUCACACUACUAAUCAUAAACCAGCACAAUCAAAAUAUAAUUAAAUAUAAAACUAUUUAUGCUUUGUCUGGAUCAUAGCAUAUCAAAUAUAUAUAUGGUGUAAAAAUAUUUAUAUCAUGUAGGAUUGGUGUACAAGGAUUCUUACUCUUUGCUGACAACCCAGACAGACCACCGUGAUCUACGAACUAGGGUGCGUAGAACCUUGCUCAAUGUCUCUUUGUCCAACAGUUUGUUACCCUACAGAACCAAAUCAAUAUUAAAAAAUUAUCUGGAGUAUCUGACAACCCAAAACCCUCCAUUGACCCACGACUAUCCAGCAAUCCUUACAAACAAUGAUCUCCUCGAAUCAAACUAGAGAGAGAAAACUCCAAUCUAGAGAGAGAAAAUGGUGAGAGAAAUAAUCCAAGUAGAGAUAACCUAGGAGAGAGAAGAGAGGAGAGAGAAAACUCUUCCUCCUUCUCAAAAUGAGGGAAGCCGAUCCAUCUCCCUCUCUUCUCGAAUUAGGAUGGCACAGCCACCAAGGUGCCCAUCCUUGGCGACGAUGGUCGGCCUGUGACGACCCUCAGCUGUGGCACCACCGGAGACGGUAGUCGGCCGGCGGCCAACCAACGAGGGGAAGAGGAGACAACGGGAUCACGAGGAAGAAGGCCUCGGAUCCCCCAUCCCCCAUGAUGC